rnacentral:rRNA from 1 species
AGCGUACACGGUGGAUGCCCUGGCAGUCAGAGGCGAUGAAGGACGUGCUAAUCUGCGAUAAGCGUCGGUAAGGUGAUAUGAACCGUUAUAACCGGCGAUUUCCGAAUGGGGAAACCCAGUGUGUUUCGACACACUAUCAUUAACUGAAUCCAUAGGUUAAUGAGGCGAACCGGGGGAACUGAAACAUCUAAGUACCCCGAGGAAAAGAAAUCAACCGAGAUUCCCCCAGUAGCGGCGAGCGAACGGGGAGCAGCCCAGAGCCUGAAUCAGUGUGUGUGUUAGUGGAAGCGUCUGGAAAGGCGCGCGAUACAGGGUGACAGCCCCGUACACAAAAAUGCACAUGCUGUGAGCUCGAUGAGUAGGGCGGGACACGUGGUAUCCUGUCUGAAUAUGGGGGGACCAUCCUCCAAGGCUAAAUACUCCUGACUGACCGAUAGUGAACCAGUACCGUGAGGGAAAGGCGAAAAGAACCCCGGCGAGGGGAGUGAAAAAGAACCUGAAACCGUGUACGUACAAGCAGUGGGAGCACGCUUAGGCGUGUGACUGCGUACCUUUUGUAUAAUGGGUCAGCGACUUAUAUUCUGUAGCAAGGUUAACCGAAUAGGGGAGCCGAAGGGAAACCGAGUCUUAACUGGGCGUUAAGUUGCAGGGUAUAGACCCGAAACCCGGUGAUCUAGCCAUGGGCAGGUUGAAGGUUGGGUAACACUAACUGGAGGACCGAACCGACUAAUGUUGAAAAAUUAGCGGAUGACUUGUGGCUGGGGGUGAAAGGCCAAUCAAACCGGGAGAUAGCUGGUUCUCCCCGAAAGCUAUUUAGGUAGCGCCUCGUGAAUUCAUCUCCGGGGGUAGAGCACUGUUUCGGCAAGGGGGUCAUCCCGACUUACCAACCCGAUGCAAACUGCGAAUACCGGAGAAUGUUAUCACGGGAGACACACGGCGGGUGCUAACGUCCGUCGUGAAGAGGGAAACAACCCAGACCGCCAGCUAAGGUCCCAAAGUCAUGGUUAAGUGGGAAACGAUGUGGGAAGGCCCAGACAGCCAGGAUGUUGGCUUAGAAGCAGCCAUCAUUUAAAGAAAGCGUAAUAGCUCACUGGUCGAGUCGGCCUGCGCGGAAGAUGUAACGGGGCUAAACCAUGCACCGAAGCUGCGGCAGCGACGCUGAUGCGUUGUUGGGUAGGGGAGCGUUCUGUAAGCCUGCGAAGGUGUGCUGUGAGGCAUGCUGGAGGUAUCAGAAGUGCGAAUGCUGACAUAAGUAACGAUAAAGCGGGUGAAAAGCCCGCUCGCCGGAAGACCAAGGGUUCCUGUCCAACGUUAAUCGGGGCAGGGUGAGUCGACCCCUAAGGCGAGGCCGAAAGGCGUAGUCGAUGGGAAACAGGUUAAUAUUCCUGUACUUGGUGUUACUGCGAAGGGGGGACGGAGAAGGCUAUGUUGGCCGGGCGACGGUUGUCCCGGUUUAAGCGUGUAGGCUGGUUUUCCAGGCAAAUCCGGAAAAUCAAGGCUGAGGCGUGAUGACGAGGCACUACGGUGCUGAAGCAACAAAUGCCCUGCUUCCAGGAAAAGCCUCUAAGCAUCAGGUAACAUCAAAUCGUACCCCAAACCGACACAGGUGGUCAGGUAGAGAAUACCAAGGCGCUUGAGAGAACUCGGGUGAAGGAACUAGGCAAAAUGGUGCCGUAACUUCGGGAGAAGGCACGCUGAUAUGUAGGUGAGGUCCCUUGCGGAUGGAGCUGAAAUCAGUCGAAGAUACCAGCUGGCUGCAACUGUUUAUUAAAAACACAGCACUGUGCAAACACGAAAGUGGACGUAUACGGUGUGACGCCUGCCCGGUGCCGGAAGGUUAAUUGAUGGGGUCAGCGCAAGCGAAGCUCUUGAUCGAAGCCCCGGUAAACGGCGGCCGUAACUAUAACGGUCCUAAGGUAGCGAAAUUCCUUGUCGGGUAAGUUCCGACCUGCACGAAUGGCGUAAUGAUGGCCAGGCUGUCUCCACCCGAGACUCAGUGAAAUUGAACUCGCUGUGAAGAUGCAGUGUACCCGCGGCAAGACGGAAAGACCCCGUGAACCUUUACUAUAGCUUGACACUGAACAUUGAGCCUUGAUGUGUAGGAUAGGUGGGAGGCUUGGAAGUGUGGACGCCAGUCUGCAUGGAGCCGACCUUGAAAUACCACCCUUUAAUGUUUGAUGUUCUAACGUUGACCCGUAAUCCGGGUUGCGGACAGUGUCUGGUGGGUAGUUUGACUGGGGCGGUCUCCUCCUAAAGAGUAACGGAGGAGCACGAAGGUUGGCUAAUCCUGGUCGGACAUCAGGAGGUUAGUGCAAUGGCAUAAGCCAGCUUGACUGCGAGCGUGACGGCGCGAGCAGGUGCGAAAGCAGGUCAUAGUGAUCCGGUGGUUCUGAAUGGAAGGGCCAUCGCUCAACGGAUAAAAGGUACUCCGGGGAUAACAGGCUGAUACCGCCCAAGAGUUCAUAUCGACGGCGGUGUUUGGCACCUCGAUGUCGGCUCAUCACAUCCUGGGGCUGAAGUAGGUCCCAAGGGUAUGGCUGUUCGCCAUUUAAAGUGGUACGCGAGCUGGGUUUAGAACGUCGUGAGACAGUUCGGUCCCUAUCUGCCGUGGGCGCUGGAGAACUGAGGGGGGCUGCUCCUAGUACGAGAGGACCGGAGUGGACGCAUCACUGGUGUUCGGGUUGUCAUGCCAAUGGCACUGCCCGGUAGCUAAAUGCGGAAGAGAUAAGUGCUGAAAGCAUCUAAGCACGAAACUUGCCCCGAGAUGAGUUCU